UACGUAGGGGGCAAGCGUUGUCCGGAUUUAUUGGGCGUAAAGAGCGUGUAGGCGGCCAUACAGGUCCGUUGUGAAAACUGGAGGCUUAACCUCCAGACGUCGAUGGAAACCGUAUGGCUAGAGUCCGGAAGAGGAGAGUGGAAUUCCUGGUGUAGCGGUGAAAUGCGCAGAUAUCAGGAAGGACACCCGUGACGAAGGCGGCUCUCUGGGACGGUACUGACGCUGAGACGCGAAAGCGUGGGGAGCGAACAGG
rnacentral:rRNA from 1 species